GCCGGGCAUGGUGGCGUGUGCCUGUAGUCCCAGCUACUCCGGAGGCUGAGGCAGGAGAAUGGCAUGAACCCAGGAGGUGGAGCUUGCAGUGAGUCGAGAUCGCGCCACUGCACUCCAGCCCUGGGUGACAGAGCAAGACUCUGUCUCAU
ensembl:misc_RNA Metazoa_SRP Metazoan signal recognition particle RNA